CGCACAGUAAACGAUGAAUACUAGCUGUUGGCGAUACACUGCCAGUGGCACAGCGAAAGCGUUAAGUAUUCCACCUGGGGAGUACGUUCGCAAGAAUGAAACUCAAAGGAAUUGACGGGGGCCCGCACAAGCGGAGGAACAUGUGGUUUAAUUCGAUGAUACGCGAGGAACCUUACCCGGGCUUGAAUUGCAUUUGAAUGGCGUGGAAACAUGUCAGCCAGCAAUGGCAAAUGUGAAGGUGC
rnacentral:rRNA from 1 species